ensembl:lncRNA
AAAAGCAGAAAGUCUAUAGCUGCUCUAUUUUGCAACACUGCAUGUCUCAGGCUAUCCAUAUCCUGUGACAUUUCAGAGAGAAUUUGUGUAGUAACAUUUGAUUGCUUAACAGCCCAACAAGCAAGUUUAUUUAAAUUAGACAUGGCAUGCGCAACUGCAACGUUAGGAGCUAAAGCUGCAGCGAAAAACCUUUCCGCAGGCCCCCAUAAUUCUACAUCAUCAGCACAAUCUGAACCUAGUUUUUUCAAUUCACGCUUGCCUCGACGAUUCUCACUUCUUCUAUGUUUGAUUGCUGCAGUCAGAUUUGACCAACGCUGAUCAUGUAAGUCAGGGGCGAAGAGUGUCAGGCGUCCUAUAUAACAAGGUCCCCCAUAAGCGUUUCCUGGCACACCCUGCCAUGCUCUGUCACCACAAAUUAGAAAAAUACCAGGAGGCAGUGCCUUAGGGGCACUCAUAGGCCACGUCGAGUUGUGAUCAUUUACUCCAUAGGCCCCAAGUGGCUCACUAUUAUUAUUGGAGUUAUUCCACCCACAAUAAUUACCAUUGGCGUUAAACCCUAAAGUUCUAGACGUUAUGUUCGUCCAAUUAUCACUAGUGUUUCCUACUGCUACUGACCCUAACAAAUCUAAUUCUUGUGGAUCCCAUGGCAAYGAUAUAUUAAGAUGUUGCAGUGCAGCAACCACUCCGUCUGAGAGGUUGCUCGAGAAGGACCCAUUUAAGAGAGUGAGUGAAGUUGAGUAUGGGCCUAACAGCUUGACCAAUUCCUUUGGAGCUCCUAUAGGCACCCCAAACAGACACGUCCGGAAGGGAUCACUUCCUGAGGCUAGAGACAAACAAAAGGURCGCUGGUUAGUUUCGUUAGCCCAUGUAACCCACAUAUUCUGUUGARUAUCAAUCUGAGACAACAUYGUAGACCCUUCAGCAAUUAUCAUVAUCAAUAGGACAAUUUUGYGCAGAGUUGUCUGUCCGAUUCCGAGCAURGUCUUUGUCCACAGUCGCUCCUUCRUCUAUCACAGGUUUCGUAAAUCUGCUGGGAACCCAAACCGGUCCUGUGGGAGAAGAUAUACACACAUAACCGCGCCCUACAUAUAUUACCUCUGCUGGACCUAUCCAUWCUCCCGUUUUCAUGUCCCGGUAUUUUACUCUAAAGGUCCGGCUACCAGCCUUUUCUUCUUCUAUAUGAUGUUUGAUUGCUGGUGGUUCUUCGUCRUCCCCGAAUACACACAAAUAGUUUAGUACGAAUAGGGUCUUAUCAAUUUUUUCCUUGAUGUCUAGGAUGUCCUUAAACUUUUCUAUGUAUUGUUUGACAGUGCUGUUUGCUCGUUCAACAACCGCCUGACCUGUGGGUGAAUGGGGAAUGCCUGUUAUAUGUUUGAUAUUCCAUAAGCUCAUAAAUUCCUUAAUGGCUUUACUGRCAUAAGCAGGGCCGUUAUCUGUUUUUAUGGCUUCUGGGACCCCCAUUACAGCAAAACAGCUGGUGAGAUGGCGGCGUACAUCUCGCACCCUUUCCCCAGACUGUGGUGUCACCCAUAUCACGUGGCUGUAAGUGUCUAUCGUCACAUGCAAAUAUUUAAGCCGRCCAAAACUAGGCACGUGAGUAACAUCCAUUUGCCAGAUCUCAUUCACCUUUAGACCUCGUGGGUUCACUCCCACCCCUAUUCCUGCACCCGCAUUAUGGUGACUACAUAUAGGGCAUGAUUUUAUUAUAGCCUGCGCGUCGGUCCUGCUUAUUUGGUACGCCCGGGCGAGUCCUUUUGCAUUUUGGUGAAAGGUAGCAUGUGCUUCUCUGGCCCGGCAAAAUGGCGAUAGCGGCGCCUCCCUUGCUGGAGCAGCCACYAGUCUAUCUGCCCUGGCAUUGCCUUCUCCUAGGCCUU